UACGAAGGGGGCUAGCGUUGUUCGGAAUUACUGGGCGUAAAGCGUGCGCAGGCGGUCUGCUAAGAGAGGUGUGAAAUCCCCGGGCUCAACCUGGGAGCUGCAUUUGUGACUGCAUCGCUGGAGUGCGGCAGAGGGGGAUGGAAUUCCGCGUGUAGCAGUGAAAUGCGUAGAUAUGCGGAGGAACACCGAUGGCGAAGGCAAUCCCCUGGGCCUGCACUGACGCUCAUGCACGAAAGCGUGGGGAGCAAACAGG
rnacentral:rRNA from 1 species